AUUGAACGCUGGCGGCAGGCUUAACACAUGCAAGUCGAGCGAGCGGCGGACGGGUGAGUAAUGUCUGGGAAACUGCCUGAUGGAGGGGGAUAACUACUGGAAACGGUAGCUAAUACCGCAUACCAUCAGAUGUGCCCAGAUGGGAUUAGCGAGUAGGUGGGGUAAUGGCUCACCUAGGCGACGAUCCCUAGCUGGUCUGAGAGGAUGACAAGACACACUGGAAGUGAGACACGGUCCAGACGCCUACGGGAGGCAGCAGGGGGGAAUAUGGCACAAGGGGCGCAAGCCUGAUGAAGCAAGGCCGCGUGUGUGAAGAAGGCCUUCGGGUGGUAAAGCACUGUCAGAGAGGAGGCGUUACUCGCAGAAGAAGCACCGGCUAACUCCGUGCCAGCAGCCGCGGUAAUUC
rnacentral:rRNA from 1 species